UGCGCAGGCGGCGGCUCAAGUCAGGUGUGAAAUCCCCGGGCUUAACCUGGGAAUUGCGCUUGAAACUAGGCUGCUUGAGUGUGGCAGAGGGGGGUGGAAUUCCACGUGUAGCAGUGAAAUGCGUAGAGAUGUGGAGGAACACCGAUGGCGAAGGCAGCCCCCUGGGUCAACACUGACGCUCAGGCACGAAAGCUGGGAGCAAACA
rnacentral:rRNA from 1 species